UACGAAGGGGGCUAGCGUUGUUCGGAAUUACUGGGCGUAAAGCGCACGUAGGCGGAUUGGAAAGUUGGGGGUGAAAUCCCCGGGCUCAACCCGGGAACUGCCUUCAAAACUUCCAGUCUAGAGGUCAGGAGAGGCGAGUGGAAUUCCGAGUGUAGAGGUGAAAUUCGUAGAUAUUCGGAGGAACACAAGUGGCGAAGGCGACUCGCUGGACUGAUACUGACGCUGAGGUGCGAAAGCGUGGGGAGCAAACAGG
rnacentral:rRNA from 1 species